rnacentral:rRNA from 1 species
CACGUAGGGGGCAAGCGUUGUCCGGAUUUAUUGGGCGUAAAGAGCUCGUAGGCGGUUCGGUAAGUCGGGUGUGAAACCUCCAGGCUCAACCUGGAGACGCCACCCGAUACUGCUGUGACUAGAGUCCGGUAGGGGAGCGUGGAAUUCCUGGUGUAGCGGUGAAAUGCGCAGAUAUCAGGAGGAACACCAGCGGCGAAGGCGGCGCUCUGGGCCGGAACUGACGCUGAGGAGCGAAAGCGUGGGGAGCGAACAGG